rnacentral:rRNA from 1 species
ACACGACUACAUUAGAUACCCGGGUAGUCCUAGCCGUAAACGAUACUCGCUAGGCGUCGGCCACGGUGCGACCGUUGUCGGUGCCGUAGGGAAGCCGUGAAGCGAGCCACCUGGGAAGUACGGCCGCAAGGCUGAAACUUAAAGGAAUUGGCGGGGGAGCACCACAACGGGUGGAGCUUGCGGUUUAAUUGGAUUCAACGCCGGAAAUCUUACCGGGACCGACAGCAACAUGAAGGCCAGGCUGAAGACUUUGCCGGAUUAGCUG